UACGAAGGGGGCUAGCGUUGCUCGGAAUCACUGGGCGUAAAGGGUGCGUAGGCGGGUCUUUAAGUCAGGGGUGAAAUCCUGGAGCUCAACUCCAGAACUGCCUUUGAUACUGAAGAUCUUGAGUUCGGGAGAGGUGAGUGGAACUGCGAGUGUAGAGGUGAAAUUCGUAGAUAUUCGCAAGAACACCAGUGGCGAAGGCGGACUCACUGGCCCGAUACUGACGCUGAGGCACGAAAGCUAGGG
rnacentral:rRNA from 1 species